UACGUAGGAGGCAAGCGUUGUCCGGAAUUACUGGGCGUAAAGCGCGUGUAGGUGGUGGGACAAGUCUGCUGUGAAAGCGCCUGGCUUAACCGGGCGAGGUCGGCGGAAACUGUUCGACUCGAGGACGGUAGAGGGGGGUGGAAUUCCCGGUGUAGUGGUGAAAUGCGUAGAGAUCGGGAGGAACACCUGUGGCGAAGGCGGCGAUCUGGGAAGAUACUGACGCUGAGGUGCGAAAGCGUGGGGAGCGAACAGG
rnacentral:rRNA from 1 species